rnacentral:rRNA from 1 species
CCUACGGGUGGCAGCAGUGAGGAAUAUUGGUCAAUGGGCGCGAGCCUGAACCAGCGAAGCCGCGUGAAGGAUGAAUUCCCUACGGGUUGAAAGCUUCAUUUACAAAGGAGAAAAGUGAGGCUCGUGUGCUAUUCUGCACGGACUUCUUGAAUACGGACCGGCUAAUUCCGUGCCAGGAGCCGAGGUAAUUCGGAGGUUCCGAGCGUUAGCCGGAUUUAUGGGGUGGAAAGGGAGCGUAGAUGGGUAAUAAAGUCUGACGUGAAAGUUUGCGGCUCAACCGUGGAAUUGCAAUUGAUACUGGUUGGCUGGAGUACAGGUGAGGUAGGCGGAAUUCGUGGUGUAGCGGUGAAAUGCGUAGAUAUCAGGAGGAACUCCGAUUGCGAAGGCAGGCUGCU